rnacentral:lncRNA from 9 species
GUCACAUGAUGAUCCAGUUGCUACUUAAAAAUUCAAGGCAAUACUGUUGAGAAUUGCUGGGAAUGUAAUGAGUAUGGCACCUACGACCAGCUGAAGAUGAGGGUCUGUGCCAUCCACAGCCUGGCUUCUCUCCUGGUGACGACACUGCCUCAGUGGUCCCAGAGUCCCGUCCCCACGACGCAUCAUCCAGAGAGACAGCCCCUUCCAGAGAAUCUCUGCUCGUCUCAAACUGCCCUGAUGCCACGACUGUCUGAAUGUCGCUCUCGGCGCUGGAACACACAACUGUGGGGCGUGAGACAGAAGCAGCCCAUUCUCUGCCUUGGUCUGUUCAGGGCCCUCCUGAUUGGGGGUCCACCCUCCAAAGUGCAUGGGUGCGUGAGGGAGAUGAAGCUUUUGAGUGAAAAUCUGCGUUCCCUUCGGGAAGCAAAAGGGAGGCUGGCUUCCAGAUGCAAGCAGGAAGGUGUCUACACGGACGGGAGGACUCUCCGUGGAGUGUGGGGGAGCCGGUUUGGAGGUUCUAACAUUACCCUGGACAGAAGGCCGGUCCCUCUCUUUCCGGGAAGGUUGUCCUCUUGGACUGGAGGCUCAGCUACACGAGGCAAGCACAGGGAACAGCGGGGGCAGAAGGGGACAUCAGCCGACCCAACUGCGGCGACCAACAUGGUGACAGAGGUGGUGGCCCAAUGGCCCCCCAAAAAAAAAAAAAAAAAAAUCCACUGAAGCAUUUUGGAAGGGGAGAGCUCUUUGUCUUUAAAGGACAACAAAACUCCUCAUGACUAUCUCAUUAGAAAACCUUUGUGACCAGACACACUCAAGAAUAUGCAAGAAGGUCCAAGAACCUUCUAGAAGCCUUAGGUACCAGGUUCAUUUCGGAAGCUGAAAUUCACUUCUGCUUUUUUCUUUCUAUUAUUUGGGCAUCACUGAGCUCCCAACAUGCCGUACACUUUAUCCCUAAUAGACUCCACCCUCGCAGUGUUAACUUCAAUGAAUUCUCUUCUAGGCCGAGUUACCGUCUCUCAGUCCCAGGAGACACUGGGACUGGGUCAGGAAAAGACAAACCUGAAUCAGCAUCUAAAUGUGUUCACUUCUGACUUGGAAUCCUUGGCUUAAUUCCAAAAGAAAAUGUAAGUGCUUCAGGAUUGACGAUUCGUUUGUAUAUUCUGACUUCUGGCUCCUGCCCAUAACACAAUAGUGUACCUUGUAUUUUUAGGAAAGAAUCAGACAGUUAUACCCCGGGCUUGGAAAAAGGGGAAGGCGAUGCUUUUUUCUUGAUCCUGGAGCCACUUCUGGAAAUCUUAGCAUCUUCUGUGCCCACCUGAAAUGAAGGGCAGAGGAGAGGUCAACAGGGCGGGGCGAUCGCUGCUCUCCUGCCAAAAGGUAGAUGUUUUCUUGGGUCAAAGGAGCCCAGCCUGAGCCCUGAGCCCUUUUGCUGUAGCCCCAGGAGCAGGAAGCUGCGGGAUGUGCCCUGGGGACAAGGCCUGGGGGCAGGGUCUGAGUGGGCCAAGCCAGAGGAGCUGGGGGCCAGGAGGCCCUGCAGGACUUCAGAGGAAGCAGUGCCACCCAGCGGCCCGGGGGAGUUAGGCACCUCUGCCGCCUUCCCCUUCACAGCACUUUACUGGGAGAGAAGCAGGUGGGGGCAGGCGGGAGGGAGGGUGAGAGCCCGCAUUGCCUGUCCUUGCCGAAGCUCUGGGGCCAGGGUCUCAUCGUUGCUGGUAAAAAGGAGGUACAGAUGUGAAAUGGAAGUGGAUCUACACAGGCUGAACAAGAGUUACAGUGGUUGUUUUUUUGUUUUGUUUUUUUUGGCUGUAGCUGGAAGUUCCCAGGCUAGGGACUGAAUCUGAGAUGCAGCUGCAACCUAUGCCAUAGCUGUGGCAAUGCCGGAUCUCCAAGAGAUAUGUUUUGUUUUGUUUUAUUUUUUUCCUUUUUAGGGCCUCACCUGUGGUACAUGGAUGUUCCCAGGCUAGGUGUCGAAUUGGAGCUGCAGCUGCCGGCCUACACCACAGCCACAGCAAUGCUGGAUCCUUAACCCACUGAUUGAGGCCAGGGGUUCAACCUGCAUCCUCAUGGAUACCAGUGGGGUUUGUAACCCAUUGAGCCACAACGGGAACUCUAAGAGUUGUGUUUUUUUUUUUUUUUUUUUAAUAGCCAUAUGUCAUCAGAGAAAUAGGGAAUCAGAAGAGGAUCAUUAAAGGACUAAAAAUGCAUGAGAAAAAUAGAGCACUUUCAUAUUUGUUUAGUGUUCAAUACUAAGUGAAGCUUGUUCAAUGGGACAGUUAGCGACACACGCCUGGUGAGUGAUGAGGAUUUGAGUUCAAAGAGGCCCAUGACAAACUCAAGAGGCAUAUCUAUGGCUCAGGCAUAUGGCUCCAACCUUAAGCAGACCGGCUCAGCCUCAGUUAGGUGCAUGUGGCCUGCUGUUCCAACAAAACACGUAUGGAGCAGCUACUGUGCUCAGGGCUUUGUGUCGAGGGUUAGAGAGGCAUUGGGGGGGGGGUCAUUGCAAACCUGCUGCCUUCUGGAUGUUCCAGUCUAGGGAGUGGAGGGCAGUAAACAGAAUGACAGGGGGAUGGAGCAACUACCAGGUCUUCCAGGGGGACGCGGGAGGCGUGGAGGGGGAGAGAAGGGGUUUCUCCCUCCCCAGGCUGGUGGGGAGAAAAGGGCAGGGUGUGCACUGGACUUGACAAAGGCCUGGCCUGCACAACACCAACUGCUUUUGCCAAAUGAGCAGGAAUAAGACAGAGCACCUCCUCUGGCCCCUUUCAAUCCUAGCAGAUCUCUUCUUGUGAACUCAAGAAAGUGUGGGCUCGUGGCUGGACCACCCCUCAAGCCCUCCUGUAUUAUGAACCCAAUUCCACAGCUGUGAUUACUGUUCACUCAGUAAUACGCAGAGACGGGCCAUGGGAGUGCUGGGCAAGAGUCACAAAGUCACAAAGACACUGAAUUGGCUCUGUGUUGGUGUUGUUUCCCCUCCUUCCGAAAAGAGGGAGUAAUGGAAGCGUGGCACACAUCCCUUACUGGCAAAAUGAGACAAAGUCCUAAAAUGGGCUGCAGCAUGCCACCAAUUUCACAUGCAAAGCUGCUCCUUCUAAAUGCUGAAAAGCUAUAAAUCAAGAAGCCUAAUGGAUUUCAUCCUGUCUAUUCGGUAUCUUCUAGGGCAUUGAAUUUAGAAUGUAAUGCAUGGGGGUCGGGGGACCCCUCCGGCAAAGCGCACAAGCCUGAACAUUUUUGAAGCACAAGCUCUCCUUCCUCCGUGUUGUAAGGACCUCUGGUCUGCUGGCUGGCCUCUCCAUCACAGACGUGGAGCUCACCUCCGAGGGACGCGGCCUGGCACUCCAGCGACAGGACCUCAGGCAGUAACAUCAAGUCUUCAAGCCAGAGUUUUCUCAACCGUCUGAUGGAUGGACCUACAAAGGGCAACUAUGAUUACAGAUGGGAAAAGGCUGCAAAGGACUUAAGAUGGCUCUUGCCUGAAAACAUGGCAGUGGACUUGAUGGUGGUUUUUCAGCGGCCACCCCCUGCUCCCUUAUCCUCGGCUUCCUCCCCUCUGGCUGAGAGGUCAGCCAGCGCUGCCUCAUCCUUACCUUACCUCUUCUCCUUUCUCUGAGUGCGGCGAAAACACCAAGGAAUGUCCCUGCUUCAUUAAAUAGCAAAACACAUGAGACUUCCUGUCUCUGGAGGAGAUGUUCCCACUGGGCGGGGACCCACCCAGCUCUGGUUUCAGUUAAGC